rfam:Haloplasma contractile SSD-17B Contig1, whole genome shotgun sequence.
UCUAGUGAUGAUAACGAGGAGGAAACACCUGUUCCCAUACCGAACACAGUAGUUAAGCUCCUUAGUGCCGAUGGUAGUUCGUAAGAGCCAGAGUAGGUAGUUGCUAGGC